AUCACUUCUCGGCCUUUUGGCUGAGAUCAAGUGUGGUAUCUGUUCUUAUCCGUUUAACAUAAAUAAUGUGUUUUAGAGCAUAAAAUAGCCUGGUAUACCCAAUUCCUUAUGUUCUCCUAAAUGGAAGGCGUACACCGAAAUGUAUGCCCAUCACGUAGGCCUACAGGAACGCCCAUAUGAUGGCCCCAAC